rnacentral:lncRNA from 1 species
UUGUUUUUGAAUUUUCUUGGUUUAUACUACUAUGAAGGCUUGUCUGACUCGGUUUUUUUGAAACUUCUCAUCUCAUUAAAAGUAAAAUCAGGGUCAAAAUAAAGGCACUUUAUUUUGUUUUUUUUUUAAAUAAUUUUUUUUUGUGUUACAUAUUUUUUGUGUAACUUUUUUAUAAAAUUAUUAAAAUUUCAAAUAAAAAUUUGAUUUGAAUUACUUUAAAAUAUUAUUUUAGAUAUUG